rnacentral:rRNA from 2 species
AGCGGAGUUUUGAAAAGCUUGCUUUUCAAAACUUAGCGGCGGACGGGUGAGUAACACGUGGGCAACCUGCCCUUGAGACGGGGAUAACUCCGGGAAACCGGAGCUAAUACCGGAUAACACAUAUCUUCGCAUGAGGAUAUGUUAGAAGGUGGCUUUUAGCUACCACUCAAGGAUGGGCCCGCGGCGCAUUAGCUAGUUGGUGAGGUAACGGCUCACCAAGGCGACGAUGCGUAGCCGACCUGAGAGGGUGAUCGGCCACACUGGGACUGAGACACGGCCCAGACUCCUACGGGAGGCAGCAGUAGGGAAUCUUCCGCAAUGGACGAAAGUCUGACGGAGCAACGCCGCGUGAGUGAUGAAGGUUUUCGGAUCGUAAAGCUCUGUUGUUAGGGAAGAACAAGUACCUGUUAAAUAAGCAGGUACCUUGACGGUACCUAACCAGAAAGCCACGGCUAACUACGUGCCAGCAGCCGCGGUAAUACGUAGGUGGCAAGCGUUGUCCGGAAUUAUUGGGCGUAAAGCGCGCGCAGGCGGUUCCUUAAGUCUGAUGUGAAAGCCCACGGCUCAACCGUGGAGGGUCAUUGGAAACUGGGGAACUUGAGUGCAGAAGAGGAGAGCGGAAUUCCACGUGUAGCGGUGAAAUGCGUAGAGAUGUGGAGGAACACCAGUGGCGAAGGCGGCUCUCUGGUCUGUAACUGACGCUGAGGCGCGAAAGCGUGG